rnacentral:rRNA from 1 species
CAGUGAAAUGAAGCGCCUGUAUGCCGUCGGGAGUGAGAACGGGGGCGACGGUGAUGCGUUCGUCAGGGAAGAACGCGAAGCAAUGGACGUUGUGUUACAGGCGCUGGACGGGGAGCACAUGUCAUGAAUAUCAACACGGAAACCCGCGAAAUUCUGCGUAAUUACAGGGCUGUGAUUAAUGCGCGGCGUCGUGAAAUGGGGCAGAAACCGCUCACCACCGCGCAGAUUGUUGAUGAAAUCUGCGAUUUUGUGGUGAAUCAGCAGGCGGUUUUCCUCGGCGGUCACUACAUCUUACAGGGCAGCAGAAACAGGUGAUACAGGGCAGGCGGUGGAGGCCGCCUGUCAGCCCGCGCGAAAACCCCUGGCAGGCUGGCGCCUGCCGGAAACACGGGGGGCAGCGCC